GUGAAUGGGACCCGGGAAGAGCAGUUGAGAUGAUUUCCUGUCCUGUGUAAUAGACUGGAGUGUUUGCUCUCCUGAAGAAUACCCAAGGAAGUGGGAUGGGGAUGGCAACAGCACUAAGAGCAGCACAGCACCCCCUCCAGUACAGAGCGUGUGGCUUCCAGCAGCACAUACUAUAACACUGUGCAGCAGCAGCAAUAGGCGCUGCUUUCCGGAGGAAAAAUGAUUCCCACGUGUGCUGGCAGGAUGACGUUGAAUUUCCGCGAAAAUCCAGCAUGGUGCGGGCUGCAGCUGGACUGGAGACAUCGCUGCAGGGAGUGAUUUACACACUGGGAGGGGGGAGGAUCUUCCCCACAACCUUUCCAGACACUGGUGUCAUCUUUGUAAGCACAGAAGUGCGUCUCCGGGUGUAGGCAUAGCUGCAAGCCCCGUGGCCACCCAGAGUCAAAGCAAAACCCUCAUCUCGACCCGACGGAGGAAAAUGAGAACCACACGUUAGCGGCUCAGACAUGAACCCGAAAGCAGGAGCUUGGACUUGGUGGCUUGCAAGGAAAGGUUGGGCAGUCCCUGCCCUGGCAUGAAGUCGGGUAACUCUUUGCUCCCUGGGCGGAGAGGAGCAUUUUUGCAACAACAAAAAAAUUAAAAAACAAAAACAAAAAAACCUAAAUAUAAUACUUUGAAUGAGAGGCACCGAAGUAAGAAAGCUUUUAA